UACAGAGGUCCCAAGCGUUGUUCGGAUUCACUGGGCGUAAAGGGUGCGUAGGCGGUCGGGUAAGUCUGAUGUGAAAUCUCACAGCUUAACUGUGAAACUGCAUUGGAUACUAUCCGGCUCGAGGAAUGGAGGGGAGACUGGAAUACUUGGUGUAGCAGUGAAAUGCGUAGAUAUCAAGUGGAACACCAGUGGCGAAGGCGAGUCUCUGGACAUUUCCUGACGCUGAGGCACGAAAGCGUGGGGAGCAAAAGGG
rnacentral:rRNA from 1 species